GAGUAACACGUGGAUAACCUACCUAUAAGACUGGGAUAACUUCGGGAAACCGGAGCUAAUACCGGAUAAUAUAUUGAACCGCAUGGUUCAAUAGUGAAAGAUGGUCUUGCUAUCACUUAUAGAUGGAUCCGCGCUGCAUUAGCUAGUUGGUAAGGUAACGGCUUACCAAGGCAACGAUGCAUAGCCGACCUGAGAGGGUGAUCGGCCACACUGGAACUGAGACACGGUCCAGACUCCUACGGGAGGCAGCAGUAGGGAAUCU
rnacentral:rRNA from 1 species